AGCAAUAUCACUUACAUAAACAUUUCUAUUAGAUCUGCAAACUUAGCAGUACCAUUUAUACACACAGAUCAUGACAAGGUAGGGUUGAUUCCAGGAGUAUAAGGAGAAACAUGAGAAAAAUCUAUUCAAGUAUUUUUAAGAGAUAAAACUCUUUUAAAAGAAACAAAAGUCACAUAAACUUCAUGUUAAAAUUUUAUGAAAAAAAUCAAGCAAUUUGGGAAUAAAGGAAAUUGCCUUAAGCUGAGCAUCUUCCAAAAACCUAUGACAAAAAUUAUGCUUAAAUGAAAUGGCAAAACUCUAAGAACCCUUUUGUCUCUUGCAGUAUUGACUUAUUUUAAUCCCUAAUCUUUUGUCUACCUAGAAAAUACAGGGAUACCCCCAUCUUUAUUUUUAAUUUCAUAUUACAUUGGUUAGGGCUUUUCUUAAAGUGUCCAAGAGAAGAGGUGAUAGAAACAUUCCUACUAGAGCUGUUUCCAUUUCUCACGCAUAGAAAGCCAAUUGAUUUUUUUUUAAAUAAUGAAUUUAUACUUUGAAUGUUGUUGACCUCUCUCAUUUGCAAAUUAUUUAACUCUCUUCCUUCUUCAUGGCUUUAAUUGAUUUUGCAACCUGUAGGUUUUUUUUUUUUUUUUUUUUUGGGGAGACAUCGAGUUUUUGCUCUUGUUGCCCAGGCUGGAGUGCAAUGGUGCGAUCUCAGUUCACGGCAACCUCCAGGGUUCAAGCGAUUCUCCUGCCUCAGCCUCCUGAGUAGCUGGGAUUACCGGCACGUGCCACCACUCCCAGGUAAUUUUUUGUAUUUUUAGUGGAGAUGGGGUUUCUCCAUGUUGGUCAGGCUGGGCUCGAACUCCCGACCUCAGGUGAUCCGCCCGCCUCAGCCUCUCAAAGCGCUGGGAUUACAUGUGUGAGCCACUGUGCCUGCCCUGGUUUUAGUUUUUAUUGCAAAUGAGAUCUUUUCCCCAAAAUAUAGGAAAUAAAUUGUAAAAUGUUAUUGGCCUGGCACAACUUUAUUUCUAUUACAUUUACCAGACUAAAUGGUAAUAGCAUGUUCCUAUUGAUGACGAUUUUCCUCACAUGCAACUAAAAUGCCAAUGUUAUUCCAAUAAAAAUCUCAGCAGGGUUUGACAAGCAUUUUAAAAUGCAUAUGGGCUGGGUGCGGUGGCUCACGACUGUAAUGCCAGUGCUUUGGGAAGCCGAGACAGGCAGAUCACUUGAGGUCAAGAGCUCGAGACCAGCCCAGCCAAUUUGGUAAAACCCCGUCUCCACUAAAAACACAAAAAUUAGCUAGGUGUGGUGGCACGUGCCUGCUAUCCUAGCUACUCGGGAGGCUGAGGCAGGAGAAUUGCUUGAACCCGAGGUGCAGAGGUUGCAGUGAGCUGACUGCACCACUGUAUUCCAACCUGGGAGACAGAAUGAAACUGUCUCUUUUUACUCUCUUAAAAUGUGGCUAAAAAUUGGCUUACACUACGUUUCUAUUGGACAGCACUACCCUAGACUAAGUCUAGAUCCUUAGCAUGGCAUCUCAUCCCAGCAGUCUGAUGGAUGUGCAAACCUUAAAAAGCAACUCACACUGAGUGUAGCUGUGGCAACAAAAGACUCUACAUAUUACAAAGCAAAGGGCUUUGCAGAUACCAGGGGCUAUCAAGGUGCUCCUGCCAAAACACUAUCCUACACAUUACUUCAUUUAUCCUGUCACUUAUUAACAAAAUAUAGGCCAGGUGCCAUGGCUGACACCUGUAAUCCCAGCAC
rnacentral:lncRNA from 1 species